GGUAAGCUCUCCUACUCCCCUCAGAAGUUUUAGUUUCAUCUGUAUUUUCGUGUGAUAUACUGCUAAAUCUUCGUGAAUUUCUGCUCGUUCUGCAAGAAUUAUGUUUAUGGGUUUGUUUUGAACUCCUUGUCUUUCUGAAUCUCUAUCGAGUUGAUUUUCCAAUCCUGAAGUUAUGAAGUGAAUCAGUGAGGGUUGGAUCUGUUCUCUCUGUGGGAUGUGAACAAACUUUUUUACUUCUUGUUCUAUCAAUUAUUGUAUACCUCCGAAGAAUCUUAAACGUCUUAGUUAACACCAUUUCUUUUUGAUGUUGUGGAUGGCAACCGACAGUCCGAGGGAAAACUUGAUGAAGCUGAGGAACAGUGCUAUCAAGCUACAAUAACAUUUCCUGAAGAUGGUGAAACUCUGA
rnacentral:lncRNA from 1 species